ensembl:snoRNA
AAGACCCAUGAUAAGAAUGUGUGAAUCAAUAAUUAUGAUUAAUAAAAUCUGUGACUCUGAGGUCUAA